GCCAUGGCCUCCUACCCAAUUCUCCUCUCUGUCACAUUUAGUACCCGAAGGCCUUUUCUCACCAUGCUGGCCCCGGCUUGCCAUCAUGACCAAAAGCCCUGGGGUCGUGGCACUUAAACUAUCCCAGGGGAUGGACAGACCGAGGACUGUUAGUCACUACUGUGGGAGCCGGCACGGUCCAGCAGAGACCUCAGUCUAGUCCUGAGGUCGGAGAGGCCUGACUAGGGAAGUGAUGUGGAGAGGAAGCCGGAAGCAAUCAGAGGAAGCCAGGACCCGAGGGGGAGUGCAAUUGCUAGAGAUUGAACCCAGGACCCAGAUUCUAGUGCUUUUGAACUCUACCAUGAAGUGUUGCUUCAUAAAAAAAAUUGCAGUCCUUGCUAGAUGAGCGUUUUUCAGGAUGAGGUUUACUUUUGCAAGUGGAGAGGAGAGAGGCUUUCUGAUUGGGGAUUCCUAAAUAUUUGUUUGCUAUUAAACAUGAAAGACCAGCACCAAUCAGGGACAUAGGGUACAAAGUCCAGGACACUUUGUAAUUUAUCUCAGUUACAGUGGAGAAUUAUGGAGAUAUGUAAAUGACAGUAUGAAGAGUACACCGGUUGCCUUCAGACAGAGGAUAGAGGUUAGUGGUCGGGGAACUUUUCUGUUUUGUUUUAGAAUUUCAAAACUCCACCCUUCAUUUUCCAAAUCAGAAUUAUUUAAGAUGGGGACUGAAACUUUUUCUUCUUCUUCCUGGUAGUACUGGAGACUGAACUCAAGGCCUCACAAAUAGUAAAUAAACAUUCUACCACUGCCCUGUGUUCACCAGCCCUUUUUUAAU